rnacentral:rRNA from 1 species
UAGGGAAUCUUCGGCAAUGGACGAAAGUCUGACCGAGCAACGCCGCGUGAGUGAAGAAGGUUUUCGGAUCGUAAAACUCUGUUGUUAGAGAAGAACAAGGACGUUAGUAACUGAACGUCCCCUGACGGUAUCUAACCAGAAAGCCACGGCUAACUACGUGCCAGCAGCCGCGGUAAUACGUAGGUGGCAAGCGUUGUCCGGAUUUAUUGGGCGUAAAGCGAGCGCAGGCGGUUUCUUAAGUCUGAUGUGAAAGCCCCCGGCUCAACCGGGGAGGGUCAUUGGAAACUGGGAGACUUGAGUGCAGAGGGGGAGAGUGGAAUUCCAUGUGUAGCGGUGAGAUGCGUAGAUAUAUGGAGGAACACCAGUGGGGAAGGCGGCUCUCUGGUCUGUAACGGACGCUGAGGCUCGAAAGCGUGGGGAGCAAACAGG